UACCCGCUGAGUUUAAGCAUAUCAAUAAGCGGAGGAAAAGAAACUAAC
rnacentral:rRNA from 1 species